AGGGGGCUAGCGUUGCUCGGAAUCACUGGGCGUAAAGCGCACGUAGGCGGCUUGUUAAGUCAGGGGUGAAAUCCCGGAGCUCAACUCCGGAACUGCCUUUGAUACUGGCGAUCUUGAGUCCGGGAGAGGUGAGUGGAACUGCGAGUGUAGAGGUGAAAUUCGUAGAUAUUCGCAAGAACACCAGUGGCGAAGGCGGCUCACUGGCCCGGUACUGACGUUGAGGUGCGAAAGCGUGGGGAGCAAACAGG
rnacentral:rRNA from 1 species